AAGAGCUGGAUCUUUGUGUGUUGAGCCAGUGCUCAAAUACAACUACCAUACGCAAAGCAAAAAUACAAUUAGUCUAAUCACUAAGGAAGCAAUUUUGUAUUAAUGAGAGAUCUAUGGACUUGAAACUAGGAGGUUAUGGCUACUAUCAGGGGGAAGCUUUGAAAAUAAACCUACAAUUUCCAAACAGUUCAUAAUAAUAUUUACUAUAAAAAAUAUGUAAUAGUAUAAAACUUAAAGUAAAAGGGGAGGUUACCUUCCAUCCUUUUGGGAUUGUAUAACCUUGAUAGGUGAAAUCAACUAGGGCCUCUCUGAAAGCACCACUUACAGGUGGAGACAGUUUUAUAACUUCAGAGGCCACAUUCCAUGAGCACUUCAUUUUCUGCACAUCCUCCCAUUGCAACAACUCCCCUGCUUCUUUGGACUUGACAAUAUCAAUUUGCUCUGUUUACCAAGUAUGAACAAUCAAAACAUAUUAGCAAACAUGAUCUGUGCAAGCUUCUCAUGUAAGUGGUCAUUAUAGUUUCACCAUUUUCAUCAUAUGAAAGUCAAGUCAUUCAAGCAACAGUUAUGAAGUCCUCAAUUUUAUGCUUACAAUUUAUAUUUGAUGAAAUCAAAAGAAAUUUCAAUUGUAGUAGAAGUGUUAAUCUGUGAGCUUCACUUUUUUUAGUGCUCAAUUAAUAGGUUCCUACAAGACACCACUAACCUUUUAACACUUUUGCAUACACUUCAGGCAUUUCUCCAAGAUAUUUAAUUAGCAGUGUUAUGGCUGAUCUGGAUGUAUCAUGGCCAGCGAAAAGCAAAAGCAGGAUGUUGUGAACAAUCUCCAUCUCAGAUAGAAAUCUUCCGCUUGUGUCUGCAGUCAAAAGCAAAUGUGACAAAAGAUCUUGUGUAAGUGAGACCAAUUUCUUAUCUAAUGCUUCUCUUCUUUGUCUGGCAAGUGACUUAAGCUCUUCUCUGAUUGCGUUAGCAGCCUUCAUAGAAUGGUAAAAUCUUGUGCCAGGUAUGUUGAUUGGGAAGGCAAUAACUCCUUUGAGAAACACAUUAAACUGAGCAGCAAGCUUUGAUACUUGUGUAGGAUCAUCGAUGCGUGCAAAUAAGUGACAGGCAAGAUCAAAUGUAUAUAACUUGACGGUCAGGUAGACUAGAACCUCCUCUUUUUGUUCACAGUCAUCAAAUUCAGGAUUUGAAUAUUGUAGAUAAAUUUAACACGUAAAAAAUGCAGUUUAUAAGUAAAAUGCCUUGAUAGAGAAUCAUUUCAAUGCAUUAAGUUUCAAUAAUUUGCAUACCUUCCCAGUGCCUUCUAAUAUGUUCUUGGGUGGCUCUAUCUAUGCUCUCUGUAUACGUCUUUAGUGCAUCUGGGUUAAGGAAAGUCAUCAGCAUCCUCCUCUUCCACUUGGAACCAUCGCCGACUACAUUAAUCAAACUUGAUUUCAAUAGCUUUCUCACCGAUCUAGGCCACCGAGCGUUGAGCAACUUGUUCUCAUUGCUAAACAAGAAC
rnacentral:misc_RNA from 1 species